UUAUUAUUAUUACUAUUGAUAUAAUAUGUUGUAUAUGUAGCCUACAUUGCGUGUUUGCAUAAAAGAGCAGGUUAAUCCUUUUUUGAACAGGUUUGUUGAAAAAUCCUUCUCGAAAGAAUCGUAUUUCCAAAGUACUGUCAACUGACCACAUCUUCUUCCGCUUGUCAAAAUAGUUCUGCUCAGUUUGGUGUUUUAUUACGGAUUUAUUCUCAUAGUACCGUUUCAUAAUUUGAUAUAAUAAUAUAAUAAUAUGCUGAUAUUAAAAUUAAAAAAAAUAAAAAAUGUAAUAUUCGAACUGAAGGAAUUCCCGCCCUAGCGCAAGGACACAUUCUCCUCCAAGCACGCAGUGGAGCUGCUGGGCGCGCAGAAGGAAUAACUCGACCUUCAGUUUCACGGUCAAUCUUCAAUCUGAGGCGAAAAUAAGCAGAUAAGUUCAGUGAGUGCUAAAACCAUGGUCAACAUGAAAGGUCAUAGUUAACGACCACAUCACCAUCUUCUGCAACGCUCUGAUGUUUGCUUCAUACAACUGCUUGAACAUUUCAUACCCAGGAAACCAAGGAGAAACGCAAGAGAUUGUGCAAAGAUUCCUUUUUAAGAUGAACCCCGAGAAGGGAUCGAAAGUGGAGAAGACCACAUCGAGAAAGAAAUCAGCAGUCAGUCCAAAGGUUCUUUCACUGAUUAACAAGAUUGCGGACUUUGAAAGGAUGGAGUAAAACUUGGAGUGUCAGAUCUUCCUACAUUGCCUAGCAGAAAUUCUUGACAGUGUCAAAGACUUAAAAUACUUGCUGAUUAUUUGCUUUCAUGGUUGAUUUUUUUUUUUUUUAAUGCAUCAUCUGUUGUCAAGAUGAAUUAAUCUGUUCACAGGUGGUUCAGUUUUAAGGACAAAU